GGCCUUGAAGUGUGAACAUGUCGAAUUGCAAAUUCGAAGAAGCAGCUUCAAUUCUGCCGGGGCUU
rnacentral:tRNA from 1 species